UGGGGAAUCUUGCACAAUGGGCGAAAGCCUGAUGCAGCGACGCCGCGUGCGGGAUGAAGGCCUUCGGGUUGUAAACCGCUUUCAGCAGGGACGAGGCCGCAAGGUGACGGUACCUGCAGAAGAAGCCCCGGCUAACUUCGUGCCAGCAGCCGCGGUAAUACGAAGGGGGCUAGCGUUGUUCGGAUUUACUGGGCGUAAAGCGCACGUAGGCGGACUAUUAAGUCAGGGGUGAAAUCCCGGGGCUCAACCCCGGAACUGCCUUUGAUACUGGUAGUCUUGAGUUCGAGAGAGGUGAGUGGAAUUCCGAGUGUAGAGGUGAAAUUCGUAGAUAUUCGGAGGAACACCAGUGGCGAAGGCGGCUCACUGGCUCGAUACUGACGCUGAGGUGCGAAAGCGUGGGGAGCAAACAGG
rnacentral:rRNA from 1 species